rnacentral:lncRNA from 1 species
CUUUUCCAUUUGACUCCCUGCCUCUCUCUAUUCGGACUGGAAUGCCGGGCCAGGCUCCGGGGCACGCCGCUGCGGCAGCCGCACCUCGCAGGUCCCCCGGCCGACCCCGACGCGGAAGCGGCGGCCCUCCUCGCCGUCGGGGAGCCAGGGAGCCGGGGACGAUCAGUCACAUAAGGCUUAGAGGAUCAAGUAUCCUGCCCAGAUGACUUACCGAAAUGUUACAGAUUAAGUUGGUGUGGUAACCUGGGCUGAGCACUCUGGGAGAGGAAGAGAAGAGAGAAGACAGGAAACAACUGAACUAUGACCAAUCCCAGCACGGAGGCCCAGAAAACUUUAAGAUUUGAGUAUUAAUGUCUCAAGGUCAGGAGCAACCUCAAGGCUAAAACUCAGAUCUCAGGACUCAGUUUCACAGAAGUUCCACUAUAAAGGCAAUAAUCUAAAGCUUUAAAUGAUAUGAAAAUUUUGUAAUAAGAGUUCAGUAUUUCUGCCAACAUUGGCGCAUGGAUUGCAAAGUUCACAGGAUUGAAAACACCAUCGACAUAAUGGAAAUUGAACAGCAUCUGAUUACUGAGUGCUAUAUCAGCAAGUUAAAAGGAUCUUUUGCAUACCUUUUAAUGGUAUAUAUCCUAAAACUGAAGUGUUCAAUAUAGACAUCCAGAUUGAAACUCAGGCAGUGAAUUACAUACACAACAAAUCAGUUGAACAUGGCAGAGCUUGUCAGACUUAUGAAAGAUUAAAUACAUUUUACAUUUCCACAGGUGUGGUAUUCACAGGUCUAAAUUGGAAAAUUCUUGGGUUGAAGAAGAAUAAUCAUAAUCUUAGCUUCACUCAUUGAGGAAACAUUAUUCAGGGAUGAUAAGAGGUAAAAUCUUAAAAAUAUUGACAAGCUAAUGAGAGAACUUUGAGGUAAGCUGAUAUGCAGGUAUAGUUAGGACUGGGAAAAGCAAGAAAAUGGAAGGAUGGGUUAGAGGGUGGCACUACACGGCUGAUAUAGUUUGGAUAUCUGUCCCCACCCAAAUCUCAUGUUAAAUUGGAAUCCCCAAUUCUGGAGGCAGAGCUAGAAGGCAGAGCCCGGUGGAAGGUGUUUGCAACAUGAGGAAGGAUCCCUCAUGGCUUGGUGCUGUCUUAACAAUAAUGAGUGAGUUCUCCCGAGAUCUAGUCAUUUAAAAGGGUGUAGCACCUCCCCCCCCAGCCCCCCCUCCGCCAACUCUCUCUUGCUCCUACUCUGCCAUAUGAAUGUUUGUUCCCCCUUUGCCUUCAGCCAUGAUUAGAAGCUUCAUUAGGACUCCUCAGAAGUAGAUGUUGGUGCCAUACUUCCUGUAUAGCCUGUAGUACCAUGAACCUCUUCACUUUAUAAAUUACCUGGUCUUGGGGAUUUCUUUAUAGCAGUGCAAGAAUGACCUAAUACAGAAAACUGGUACUGAGAAGUGAGUCAUUGCUGUAGAGAUACCUGAAAAUGUGAAAGCAGCUUUGGAACUUGGUAACAGGCAGAGGUUGGAAGAGUUUGUAGGGCUCAGAAGAAGACAGAAAGAUGAGGGAAAGUUUGGAAUUUCUUAGGGACUGGUUAAAUGGUUGUGACCAAAAUGCUGAUAGCUAGGACAUGAACAGAAUGCACCCAAGCACUUUGCUAAGGCAAAACAUGCGUGACCUUUGCUCUAGUUCCCAAUAAGUUCCUUAUUUCCAUUCGAGACCUCAGAAGCCUGGACUUCAAACCAAAAUGCUGAUAGUGAUGUGAACAGUGAAGUCCAGGCUGCUGAGGCCUCAGAUGGAAAUUAGGAACUUACUGGGAACUAGAGCAAAGGUCACACAAUGUUACUCCUUAGCAAAGAGCUUGGCUGCAUUCUGUUCAUGCCCUAGGAAUCUGUGGAAGUUUGAACUUGAGAGUGAUGAUUUAGGGUAUCUGGCAGAAGAAAUGUCUAAGCAGCAAAGUGAUCAAGAAGUGGUGUGGCUGCUUCUAGCAACUUAUAUUCAGAUGUGGGAGCAAAGACAAAAGGUAGAACUUAUAUUUAAAAGGGAAGCAGAGCAAAAAAAGUUUGGAAAAUUUGCAGCCUGGCCAUGUGGCAGAGAAAGAAAAAAGCUUUUUCAGGAGAGGAAUUCAAGCAGACUGUGGAACAAUUACUUGCUAGAGAUGUUUGCAGGAUUAAAGGGGAGCCAAGUGCUACUAUCCAAGACAAUAGGGAAAAAGCCUUGAAAGCAUUUCAAAGAACUUCAGAGUGGCUUCUCCCAUCACAGGCCCAGAAGCUUAGGAGGAGAGAAUAGAUUCAUGGACUGGGCCCAGGGCCAUGGUACCUUGCACAGCCUUGGGACACUGCUCACCACAUCCUAGGUGCUCCUGUUCCCACUCUUGCCAUGGCUCAAAGGGGCCUACAUACAGCUUGGACUGCCACUUUGGAGAAUGCAAACAGUAAACCUUGGUAGCUUUCAUGUGGUGUUAAGCCUGCAGGCACACAAAGUGCAAGAAUCGUGGAUUCUUGGCAGCCUCUGCCUAGAUUUCAGAGGACAUAUGGAAAAGUCUGUUUGUCCAGGCAGAAGCCUGUUACAGGGGUGGAGCCCUUACAAAGAACCUCUACUAGGGCAGUAUGGAGGGGAAAUGUGGGGUUGGAGGCUCCAACAGGGUCACCGCUGGGGCACUGCCUAAUGGAACUAUACGAAGUGGGCCACUGCCCUCCAAACCUAAGGAUGAUAGAUCUACCAGCAGCUUGUAUUCUGCACCUGGAAAAGCCACAGGCACUCAACUGCAGCCCAUGAGGGCAGCCUUGGAUUCUUUACCCUGCAAAGCCAUAGGGGCAGGACUGCUCAAGGCCUGGGGAGUCCACACCUUGUACCAGUGUGGCCUGGAUGUGGAACAUGAUGUCGAAGAUUAUUUUGGAACUUUAAGAUUUAGUGACUUCCCUACUGGGUUUUGGAGCUGUGUGGAGCCUGUAGACCCUUUCUUUUGGCCAAUUUCCCCCUUUUUGGGAUGGAAACAUUUACCCAAUCCCUAUACCCCCAUUGUAUCUUGGAAGUAAAUAAUUUGUUUUUGAUUUUACAGGCUUAUAGGUGAAAGUGACUUCCCUUGUCUCCAAUGAGGCUUUGGACUUUGGACUUUUGAGUUAAUGCCAGAAUGAGUUAAGAUUUUGGGGGCCUAUUGGAAAGGCAUGAUUGUAGUUUGCAAUGUGAGAAGGACAUGAGAUUUGGAGGGGCCAGAGGUGGAAUGGUAUAGUUCAGAUAUUUGACCCAGCCCAAAUCUCUUGUUGAAUUCUAAUCCCCAAUGCUGGAGGUGGGGCCUUCCUUGUAUGAUGUGUUUGGAACAUGCAGGCAAAUUCCUCAUGGCUUGGUGCUGUUUUCAUGAUAGUGAGUGAGUUCUCCUGAGAUGUGGUCAUUUAAAAGUGUAUGGCACCUCCCCCUACUCUCUAUCUCUCUUGCUCCUGCUCUGCUAUAUGAGACACCUGUUCCCCGUUUGCCUUCCACCAUGAUUGAAAGCUUUGUGAGACCUCCUCAGAAGCCAAGCAGAUGCCAGUGCCAUGCUGCCUGUAUAGCCUGCAGAACCACAAGCCAAGUAAACCUCUUUUCUUUAUAAAUUACUUAGUCUCAGAUAUUUCUUUACAGCAAUGUAAGAAUGGCCUAAUACAAUUGCCUAAACUAAUUUGAGGGAGGUGAUGUGUCUCUUGCUACACAAAGUAUGGUUCAUGGACUAACAGCAUUGGCGUCACCAGGAGGUUGUCAGAAGUACAGACUUUCAGUUCCCAUCUCAGACCUAAUAAAUCAGACUCUCCAAAAAGUUUGGGGAGCACUGCUCCAGCCAAUGACUUGUGGUAGAAUUCUGUUUUUGCCUCAACAGCAUCCAUUCUCCUUUCAGUAACAACUCCUAGCUUCUACUUUGGGGAACUUUCCAUCUCCCACACUCAGACCUAGGGUUCAGAUGUGGCUAACCUAGCCCUGUGCAGCCAGAGGAAGGCACAUGAUCCAGGCCUGGCCAAUGACAGUGCCUUAUGACCCAGCCAGAGUGACUGGUUCAGCAAAGAGGGUGUAAUAUGAGCUGAGCCAAUGAGACUUUGUCCUGGUACUUUUGGGAGAGAAAUGCUCCCCUUCGUGAGUUUGCUGAGCUGAUAAGAUAUUCAUCUACAGCAGCCAUCUUUCCACUACCUGAGAAUGAAGCCAACAUAGGAAAAUGGAGCUGAGAAAUGAGAGAGAUCCUAACAAAUUCAUUUAUCCACUCACUACCAGAUCUAAAUCCUGGGCUUUUUAGUAACUCAAGCCAGUAUAGUCUUCAUUUCUUUGGCCAGUUCAAACUGGAUGUCUACUAGUUACAACUGAAAGAAUCCUAAUACAUCAGUCUCUUCCUGUCCCUGAAAUUCAUUAGGCUCAUUUUGAAUCUUUGAUAUUUCCUUUUCCUCUUUUCUUUGUCUGUGUUUAAUCCAUUUUGCAUUGCUGUAAAGGAAUACCUGAGACUCGGUAAUUUAUAAAGAAAAGAGAUUUAUUUGGCUCACAGUUCUGCAGGCUACACAAGCAUGGCACCAGCAUCUGCUCAGCUUCUGGUGAGGCCACAAGAAGCUUUAACUCAUGGCGGAAGGCGGAGGGAGAGCAGGUGUGUCAUAUGGCGAGAGAGGGAGCAAGAGAGAGGGGAGGGAGACUUCUCUUUUUUUGGCAAUCAGAUCUCGUGGUAACUAAUAAAGCAAAAAUUAAUUCAUUACUGUGGCAAGGACACCAAGCCAUUCCAAAAAGAUUCACCCCCAUGACCCAAACACCUCCCACCAGGUCCCACCUACAGUGUUGGAGAUCGCAUGGGAGACAAAUAUCCAAACUAUAUCACUCCUCUCUAAACCAGUUUAGAGGGUUCAAACUUUGCCUUCUCCAGAUUUGCCUCUUCCCUGAGACCUUCCCUGAUAGCUUCCCACACAUACUGCUCUCCCCAGUCCAUCAAUGAAUUCCUGCAUCCAGGUGGCGAAUGGUUCCAUACUUACCCUUCAGCUGUGACCAGUUUUGUGUCCACCUCUGUCUUCCUCCCUCUUUUUGCUUAGAUGACACCCACUCAACCUCUAGAUGUCCCCUGCUACAGGUGGGAUGCCCUUGUUAUAUGUUCUUAUAGCACCACCUGUCUUCCCUUCAUGGCAGUUAUAUUUGUAAAUGUAUUCAUGCCAUAGAGUACUGCAUGAAGGCAGUCAAGUGGGUGGUUCAAACGUAGACCCUGGUGUCAGCCUGCCUGGACUAGCUAUAUGACCUUGGGCAAGUUUCUUAACCUCUCUAUACCUCAAUUUCCUUACUUAUCAGGUGAAGAUAUUAAGAGUACCCCCUCAGAGUGUGAUUUUGUUAAUUUAUGUAAAGUACUGAGAACAUGCCUGGCAUGUAAUAGGCACUGUAUAAGUGAUAUCUAUUAUUAUUGUACAUGGGAUUAUUUGAUGUCUGUAUCCCAUCCCCCAUCAGACAUGAAAAAAUAGGUCUGCUUUUGAUCACCAUUUUACACUUAAAGAAAAGGGUCAGGCUGGGCGUGGUGGCUCACACUUGUAAUUCCAGCCCUUUGGGAGGCUGAGGCAGGUGGAUUGCUUGAGCCUAGGAGGGAGGGAGGGAAAGGAAGAAAGAAAGAGAGGGAGAGAGAGAGAGAGAAAGAAAGAAAGAAAAGAAAUAAAAGAGAAAGAAAGAGGAAAAAGGGAAGGAGGGAGGGAGGGAAAGAGAAAGAGAAAAGAAAGGGA